rnacentral:misc_RNA from 1 species
GCCAAAAAUAUGAUCUUCUGCUUCAUUUAUAUCUACAGGGUUUCCCAAUAGAUUUCCAGUACCAACAACAGCAGCCAUUUCCAGCUCAAAAUCCAACUUAGCAGAAGGGCCAAAUUGUGGUGAAGAGUCUCCGACUGGUUUGCUCUGGCCUCGGGGUCGAACAAUGUCUGUCCCUGAGAUGACAAUAGAUGAUGCACGUCCAUGAUAUGCAAUUGGAAGGUGGAACCAGUUGGGAACAAUUGGGUUUUCAGG